CCUACGGGUGGCAGCAGUGAGGAAUAUUGGUCAAUGGGCGAAAGCCUGAACCAGCCAAGUAGCGUGCGGGAUGAAGGCCCUACGGGUUGUAAACUGCUUUUAUACGGGAAUAACGCGCCUUACGUGUAGGGCUUUGCAUGUACCGUAUGAAUAAGGACCGGCUAAUUCCGUGCCAGCCGCCGCGGUAAUACGGAAGGUCCGGGCGUUAUCCGGAUUUAUUGGGUUUAACGGGAGCGUAGGCCGCAUGUCAAGCGUGCUGUGAAAUGUUCGGGCUCAACCCGGGCCUUGCAGCGCGAACUGGCGUGCUUGAGUCCGCAGAAAGCAGGCGGAAUUCGUCGUGUAGCGGUGAAAUGCUGAGAUAUGACGAAGAACCCCGAUGGCGAAGGCAGCUUGCUGCAGCGGAACUGACGCUGAUGCUCGAAAGCGCGGGUAUCGAACAGGAUUAGAUACCCCAGUAGUC
rnacentral:rRNA from 1 species